UAUAUGUUUUCUCCUCCUUUAGCUCAGCCUAACCAUGACCCAAACACUCAUCAUUGCUUAUGUGGAGCAGAUGCUGAUCUCAUUAUGCUCGGCCUUGCUACAUAUGAACCCAACUUUACCAUUAUUAGAGAAGAAUUCAAACCAAACAAACCCAAGCCAUGUGCUCUUUGUAAUCAGUUUGGACAUGAAGUUAAGGACUGUGAAGGUUUGCCAAGAGAAAAGAAGGGAAAGCACGAUGAACUUGCAGAUAGUCUUCCUUGUGCAGAAGGAGAGUUUAUCUUCCUUCGUCUUAGUGUUCUUCGUGAGGUAUGUAGCAAUAAUCACUAGAAUCAGCCCUCUAAAGCAGAGUGCCGUUUCAUAGCUUUAAUGGCAGCAUUCCUUUUUGG